rnacentral:lncRNA from 1 species
GUCAGAAGAGCGGCGGUAGCCUGACCGUGUCCCAGUGCCCACGGCGUUGACCGCGCUUCCUCUCAUCACACCGAAGGAGCGUGAGAUUGUGUGUCUAUUGCCGUAACUUGUACCCUGGUAUCGUACACUGUAAUUUUGGCCUUGGAGCUGGAGUAGAUGAAGAUUUGGAUUCAUGUGAUCUUACUCCUGAGCAUGAGAAGACGGAAAGAAAAUUUGUAAGAACAUAUAAAUUUGUGUACUUAGAUGUUGAGAGUCUAAUGGCUUCAAUUAUUAUUAUUAUUAUUAUUUGAAAAAUGGAUUCUCUGCUAAAUGAGAAAAUGCUACUAGAGCUAGAGAGUUAAGACAAAACUAAAUUCUUUGGAAUCGGAACUCCAAACCCUCCUGCCUCUUGGGAAACUCCCUCUUUGUGUGAGUAUAUUGAAACAAAAGCAUAGAACCAAGGGAAACACUCAGAGGAAUCUUUCUUUUCAGGAGACUUCAAAGCAAGAGGAGCUCAAGAAGAAAUGAAGGACAGUCCAAAACACUGAAGUAGAACUAGGGAAAUCAAAAUAGAGAAGUUUUAAGGUG